UACAGAGGUCUCAAGCGUUGUUCGGAUUCAUUGGGCGUAAAGGGUGCGUAGGCGGCGCGGUAAGUCGGGUGUGAAAUCUCGGAGCUUAACUCCGAAACUGCAUUCGAUACUGCCGUGCUUGAGGACUGGAGAGGAGACUGGAAAUUUACGGUGUAGCGGUGAAAUGCGUAGAUAUCGUAAGGAAGACCAGUGGCGAAGGCGGGUCUCUGGACAGUUCCUGACGCUGAGGCACGAAGGUCAGGGGGGAGCAAACGGG
rnacentral:rRNA from 1 species